GGGAGGUCUGGGCGGCUUUGCUUGAGCUGCUGCCCCCGUGACCUGACACCGGAUAAGCGGAAGAAAAUGGAUGGAUGGAUGGAUGGAUCUUUCUAUUGGUCACAUGACCUACAACCUGCAAAGGUGAAACUCAACGUCAAUUUUGGAGAUGUCAAAACCACACAGGACCAUAUGUUAUGGUAUCAGUGAAUCACAAGAAUUAAUUUGCAUGAAUCAAAGUAACAUUGUUUAAUUGACAACUUUGACUGAUUACUCUCUCCAUCUUUUCCUCACAUUUAUUUAUGUUGCAUUUUCUGUCUUGCUAAUGGACACUUCAGAAGGGGAAUGAACCCACCAGCCUGGGGUUGGGGUUAUGGUGUGAUAGUUAAAAUGACGAAAAUAUCUGUCGGUGCCUUCACCUGUAUAAUGUUAAACUGGUGGCCUAAGUUUGGUGAUGUAAUAAAACUAAAAUAUUGAGACUAAAUCUGACCUGCUUUACUAUCUGCACAUUUUUUUUACAAGUUUGCCAUCUAGUGGCUUACUUCCUAUUCUGCAUCUUUUGUGAAAUGUGGCAAAAUACAAAAUGUUAUGCUGAACAUUAUUCAGUUGUACACAUCACACAGGAGCCCUUGCCAGUUAAGAUUAUAUUCUACACCUAAACAAAACAACACUGUGUUAUAGAAUUGUGCAUAAAUUAGAAAUUUAACAUGACCCCGUGAGGACCAGCAAUGUGACCCACAUGCAUCCUGGGUAGAUCAUAAAAUAAAUCACCUUGAUUUAAAAAUCUGAAUUGAAAGGCUGAUACCAGUGAAUAUGUGUUAUGUGAAUUAUGUAUGAUGGUUUCUUAUUUGUUAUGAGACCUUUCAAGUUGCUAUGUAUCAUAUUGAAAUCUUAAUUUGUAUUUGAUGUUUUUGAGUUUUAUUGUUGAAAUGUUGUAACCUUUGAUGUGUGCUUUUAUGUACAUUUUUUGUACACUUUUAUCACAUAAAUAAAAUGAAUUAUGAAUUU